AUAUUUGUCAAAUUGAUUAGAAAGAAAUAUCAAUAUAAAAUUUCUAUUACUGAGAUCUUGUGUAUGUUUAUGUCUAUGUACAUGAUUUCUAUAUAUGCUGUACAUGACUCAUUAUUCACUAUUUAUUGGUUAUUUCGCGACGCAAUGUAGUGUAGUGCACUCUCUCUAAAAGCUUUGAACGAAUUUUAUUGGAAAAUGUAAAUUUAAAAUAUUAUUUAUAGAUUGUGAAUUAAGUGGAUACAACAUAUCGAUCAGUUCAAGUUUGAAUUCGGAAUUCGAAGACUAGAGACAAAAUCCACAUGCCAUUGAUGGUUGAUAAAUUUGAUUCACUAGACAAUUAAAGACAAAGUCCAUAUGCCAUGAUGAUCCACUGUGACUAGAGUUCGAAAUUCGAGGAUUGUGGUUCUUGAUGAUGUGAUAGUUCUUGCAGUUUUGAUGUUCUUGUUGUUCUGUUUUUGCAUUCUCACGGUAUUCUUACAAUUCUGUGUUUUUUAUAAUUCUUCAGAUUUUGUAGUUCUGACAAACUUUUAAAGGUUUUACCCCAGAUUAAUAUCCUCUGAAGUUCCUGUUAUGUUCCACUUGUGAGUUUGCAGAUCUUCAAUGGGAUAUACAAGUAUCCAAUGAAGAUCAAUCUUCUGAUUGAGCACCCCGGAUCAGAAAGAGUUACCUAGAAUAAAUCCGAAGAUUAGGCCACUGACAAGUCUUUUAUUUUCCCAAAGACUAUUUUGCAUAUGUUCGCACUUUCCUUCAGGUAGAAUGAUGCUAAUUGGGAAUGGCAUGGUUAUAAAGGUCGUCUCAGGAUGUUGAAAAUAUAAUGGACAAAAAUGCAGAUUCCAUUUCAAACUAAGUCGGAAAGCUGCCAAAAUGACUCACGAUAUUAACGUUUUGAUCCUGGGAUCAUUAACAAACUUACUACACAAUGAUGGUUUAAAAAAUUUCAAAGCGAUGAUAAGAAGAAGUCUUGAAGAAGAUGAGCGCAGUAGUUGGCUAUCAAAUGUUGACAACAAUGAUAUGAAAGGCCUAAUUGAAACCAAUCCUUGUACAACUAUUUAAGAAUUUGCUUUUGAAUUGGAUGUAACGUGUACAACAAUCUGUAACCAUCUACAGAAAAUUGAAAAAACAAAAAAACUGAAUAAAUGGGAACGAAGUAAACGAACAUCAAAAAAAUCGUCGUUUUGAAAUGUCGUCUGCUCUUCUCUUGUGCAAUAAAAAUGAUCCAUUUCUCAAACGAAUUGUAACAUAUAAUGAAAAAUGGAUUAUUUAUGACAAUCAUCGACGAUCGGCUCAGUAGACCACGACGAAGCUCCAUAACACUUCCCAAAGCUAAAGUUUCACCGAAAGAAAGUCAUGGUGACAAUUUGAUGGCCGGUUUGAUCACAACUUCCUGAAUCCUGAUAAAAUCAUUACAACUGAAAAGUACUGCUAAUAAAUUAACGAAAUAUACAAAAA
rnacentral:lncRNA from 11 species